rnacentral:rRNA from 1 species
AUACGGAGGAUCCGAGCGUUAUCCGGAUUUAUUGGGUUUAAAGGGAGCGCAGGCGGAGAUACAAGCGUGACGUCAAAUUUCGGGGCUCAACCCCGUCUCGCGUCGCGAACUGCGUCCCUUGGUUGCGGGAAGGGGAGGCGGAACUCGUGGGGGAGCGGUGAAAUGCAUAGAUAUCACGAAGAACUCCGAUCGCGAAGGCAGCCUUCCGGCCCGUCAACGACGCUCAUGCUCGAAGGUGCGGGUAUCAAACAGGAUUAGAUACCCUGGUAGUCCGCACAGUAAACGAUGGACACCCGCGGUUUGGCCUAUAUGGCUGAGCCGCCAAGCGAAAGCGUUAAGUGUCCCACCUGGGGAGUACGCCGGCAACGGUGAAACUCAAAUGAAUUGGCGGGG